rnacentral:rRNA from 1 species
UACGUAGGGGGCCAGCGUUGUCCGGAUUUACUGGGCGUAAAGAGCGCGUAGGCGGUUUGGUAAGCGGAGGGUGAAAUCCCGGGGCUCAACUCCGGGGCUGCUCUCCGAACUGCCAGACUAGAGUACGGGAGAGGGCAGUGGAAUUCCUGGUGUAGCGGUGGAAUGCGUAAAUAUCAGGAGGAACACCCGUGGCGAAGGCUGCUGCCUGGAACGUUACUGACGCUGAGGCGCGAAAGCUAGGGGAGCGAACGGG